rnacentral:rRNA from 1 species
UACAGAGGUCUCAAGCGUUGUUCGGAUUCAUUGGGCGUAAAGGGUGCGUAGGAGGCGCGGUAAGUCGGGUGUGAAAUCUCGGAGCUUAACUCCGAAACUGCAUUCGAUACUGCCGUGCUUGAGGACUGGAGAGGAGACUGGAAUUUACGGUGUAGCGGUGAAAUGCGUAGAUAUCGUAAGGAAGACCAGUGGCGAAGGCGGGUCUCUGGACAGUUCCUGACGCUGAGGCACGAAGGUCAGGGGAGCAAACGGG